ensembl:miRNA predicted gene, 24993
AUCACUUAGGGAUCUUGUUGAAAUCCAUAUUCUGAUUCAGAAUUGGCACAGAUCCUGGCAUUCAGCAUUCCUAACAAGUUCCCAAAUGAUG